rnacentral:lncRNA from 1 species
UUUUCACCUGAACUUUGUGUUUCCAAAUUCUUUUGGCCUAUGCCUAAGUUCCCUCCUUUUAAGGGAUUUGAUCAUCCUUUCCCUUUACCUCCACCUUUGGAGCUUCCACCGUUUCCUAAACCAUGCCCACCACCUCCGGUUCCGGUGUACGAGCCACCCCCAAAGGUGGAACUUCCACCACCUGUCCCGGUUCACGAGCCACCCCCAAAGGUAGAGGUUCCACCACCCGUCCCGGUUCACGACCCACCGCCAAAGGUGGAGCACCCACCUCCGGUUCCGGUUUACAAGCCACCUCCAAAGGUAGAGCACCCACCUCCAGUUCCGGUUUACAAGCCGCCUCCAAAGGUAGAGCACCCACCUCCGGUUCCGGUUUACAAGCCACCUCCAAAGGUAGAGCACCCACCUCCGGUUCCAGUACACAAGCCACCAACAAUCCCUAAGAAGCCAUGCCCGCCUAAGUCGCCGAAGAUUGAGCUUCCACCGCCAGUGCCAGUUCACAAACCACCGACUAAGAAGCCUUGUCCGCCCAUGCCACCAAAGAAAGUUGAUCCGCCACCGGUUCCAGUCCACAAGCCGCCGCCGAAAAUAGUCCUUCCACCGCCGGUACCAAUCCACAAGCCGCCAAAGAAGCCGUGCCCGCCUAAACCGCCAAAGGUCGAGCUUCCACCACCAGUACCGGUCUACAAGCCACCACCGAAGAUAGAGCAUCCACCAAUCUAUGUGCCACCGGUGAUCCCGAAGAAGCCGUGCCCUCCCAAAGCGCCGAAGAUCGAUCCACCACCGGUUCCUGUCUACAAGCCGCCACCGAAGAUAGAGCAUCCACCAAUCUACGUGCCACCAGUGAUCCCAAAGAAGCCGUGUCCUCCGCCGGUGCCAAUCUACGUGCCACCGGUGGUGAUCCCGAAGAAGCCAUGUCCACCACUUCCACCACUUCCAAAGUUUCCUCCUCUUCCUCCUAAAUACAUUCACCACCCCAAGUUCGGCAAAUGGCCUCCGUUGCCGACUCACCCUUGAGAGUUUAAUACAUAUACUUGUAUGUAAUCAACGUGUUGCUUUUUAAAUAUUUUU